AUCAGGCUGCAUUCACACCAAAUCAGCUGUCGUAGUGAUAAGCCUGCAGAGCCGGGCGGCGGUGUGGGAGUAUGACUUAAAUGGCCCAUUUGUUGAGGUGUGAAGGGUGGAGACCAACUAUAGAAAGCCAAUCUCCUCAUCUGAGCAACAUAAAUAUUUGUCUUCGACUGCACUACGUGAUUGGCCACCACAGUGGGACGUCAGGUUGCAUUUCUCCAAAGGGCAGGAAGGCGUGAGGGGAGGAUGUGAAAGAGGAUGUGACCGUUUAAAAAGAGCAAACUGCCAACAUUUUGUGAAGCAUGGACACUGGCUCAUUUGGAUGGUGCUGGCACCUGGAUCGUGAUUGCUCCUGCUGCUUGGGUCCUGCAUGACGCCCACUGCUGCUGUUAUUAUCAUUAGUCAUAUCUCUGUAAUUGUUAUAGUUCUUAAUGUUAUUAUUGUUCUUGCUGUUCAUCUCUGUCUCUCUGUCCCUUUCUCUUUCCCCGUAUUUAUGUGUAUCCCUCUCUGUCUUUCCCUCCCUCUCCCCCUCUGUGUCUUUCACUCUGGAUCUCCCUUUUUCUCUCUCCAUCACUCUUUCUCUCUCCCCCUCCUUCUCUCUAUCCCUGUCUUUUGCCCUCUCUCCGUUCCUCUCCGUCUCUGUCUCGAGUUCUGCUCGAAGUUACUGCUACUUUAAAGGGCGUUUCACUUUGCCACUGUUGCGUACGUGCUCGCUCUUGGUGGGAAUUUCCACCAUGCGUGCUCAUGUCGCAAACAGUUGGGUCUCUGUAAAUUAGUCUGGACCUGCUCCAUAUGAAAAGUGUCCUGAGAUCAUUUUAGUCAUGAUUUGGCACUCUAUAAAUAAACUGUCUUGACUUGA